AGCAGCCGCGGUAAUUCCAGCUCCAAUAGCGUAUAUUAAAGUUGCUGCAGUUAAAAAGCUCGUAGUUGAAUUUCGGGACCAUCAUGUCGGUCGUGCCUCGGUACGUACUGGUAUUGUUGGUUUCUCCCUUCUGACGAACCAUGAUGUCAUUUAUUUGGUGUUGUGGGGAAUCAGGACUGUUACUUUGAAAAAAUUAGAGUGUUUAAAGCAGGCUCACGCUUGAAUACAUUAGCAUGGAAUAAUGAAAUAGGACGUUUGAUUCUAUUUUGUUGGUUUCUAGGAUCGACGUAAUGAUUAAUAGGGAUAGUUGGGGGCAUUAGUAUUCAAUUGUCAGAGGUGGAAUUCUUGGAUUUAUUGAAGACUAACUACUGCGAAAGCAUUUGCCAAGGAUGUUUUCAUUAAUCAAGAACGAAAGUUAGGGGAUCGAAGACGAUCAGAUACCGUCGUAGUCUUAACCAUAAACUAUGCCGACUAGGGAUCGGAUGAUGUAAUUUUUAAUGACUCAUUCGGCGCCUUACGG
rnacentral:rRNA from 1 species